GAUGAACGCUGGCGGCGUGCCUAAUACAUGCAAGUCGAGCGAACGGACGAGAAGCUUGCUUCUCUGAUGUUAGCGGCGGACGGGUGAGUAACACGUGGAUAACCUACCUAUAAGACUGGGAUAACUUCGGGAAACCGUAGCUAAUACCGGAUAAUAUUUUGAACCGCAUGGUUCAAAAGUGAAAGACGGUCUUGCUGUCACUUAUAGAUGGAUCCGCGCUGCAUUAGCUAGUUGGUAAGGUAACGGCUUACCAAGGCAACGAUGCAUAGCCGACCUGAGAGGGUGAUCGGCCAGACUGGAACUGAGACACGGUCAAGACUCCUACGGGAGGCAGCAGUAGGGAAUCUUCCGCAAUGGGCGAAAGCCUGACGGAGCAACGCCGCGUGAGUGAUGAAGGUCUUCGGAUCGUAAAACUCUGUUAUUAGGGAAGAACAUAUGUGUAAGUAACUGUGCACAUCUUGACGGUACCUAAUCAGAAAGCCACGGCUAACUACGUG
rnacentral:rRNA from 1 species